rnacentral:tRNA from 3 species
GCCGGGGUGGCGAAAUCGGUAGACGCGCAACACUUAAAAUGUUGUAGGCGAAAGCCUAUAUGGGUUCAAGUCCCAUUCUCGGCACAA